rnacentral:rRNA from 1 species
UACGAAGGGGGCUAGCGUUGCUCGGAAUCACUGGGCGUAAAGCGCACGUAGGCGGAUCUUUUAAGUCAGGGGUGAAAUCCCAAGGCUCAACCUUGGAACUGCCUUUGAUACUGGGGAUCUCGAGUCCGGAAGAGGUUGGUGGAACUGCGAGUGUAGAGGUGAAAUUCGUAGAUAUUCGCAAGAACACCAGUGGCGAAGGCGGCCAACUGGUCCGGUACUGACGCUGAGGUGCGAAAGCGUGGGGAGCAAACAGG